rnacentral:rRNA from 1 species
GACGAACGCUGGCGGCGUGCUUAACACAUGCAAGUCGAACGGAAAGGCCCUUUCGGGGGUACUCGAGUGGCGAACGGGUGAGUAACACGUGGGCAACCUGCCUCAGCUCUGGGAUAACUCCAAGAAAUUGGGCUAAUACCGGAUAUGUCCGCUGACCGCAUGGUCUGGUGGUGGAAAGAUUUAUCGGCUGGGGAUGGGCCCGCGGCCUAUCAGCUUGUUGGUGGGGUAGUGGCCUACCAAGGGCGACGACGGGUAGCCGGCCUGAGAGGGUGACCGGCCACACUGGGGACUGAGACACGGCCCAGACUCCUACGGGAGGCAGCAGUGGGGAAUAUUGCGCAA